GACGAACGCUGGCGGCGUGCCUAAUACAUGCAAGUUGAGCGAUGAAGAUUGGUGCUUGCACCAAUUUGAAGAGCAGCGAACGGGUGAGUAACGCGUGGUGAAUCUGCCUUUGAGCGGGGGACAACAUUUGGAAACGAAUGCUAAUACCGCAUAACAACUUUAAACAUAAGUUUUAAGUUUGAAAGAUGCAAUUGCAUCACUCAAAGAUGAUCCCGCGUUGUAUUAGCUAGUUGGUGAGGUAAAGGCUCACCAAGGCGAUGAUACAUAGCCGACCUGAGAGGGUGAUCGGCCACAUUGGGACUGAGACACGGCCCAAACUCCUACGGGAGGCAGCAGUAGGGAAUCUUCGGCAAUGGACGAAAGUCUGGCCGAGCAACGCCGCGUGAGUGAAGAAGGUUUUCGGAUCGUAAAACUCUGUUGGUAGAGAAGAACGUUGGUGAGAGUGGAAAGCUCAUCAAGUGACGGUAACUACACAGAAAGGGACGGCUAACUACGUG
rnacentral:rRNA from 1 species